GCCUUGUCCUAUUAUAUGAAACAACAUGAAAUAAUCCACCUUCUGUUUCAUGCUGACUUGGUUUGAAAGUGGCUCACCAAUCAAAGGCAUCUGAACUCAGUGAUGAAAAACCACCCCUAGAAUUCAGAAAAUCAACACCCUUUCUAUGGAAAUACAGCAGAUGGUGUUGCUUGAAAAUACCAGGGGUAUCUGGUUAAUCUUGCAGCUCUUUUCCCAUUUCCUCAGCGCCUGCUUCCUCCUGCGAGGUACGGAGGAGGGCGGGUGUAGGUCACCACACAGCCCUCAGCCCAGACUCCUUCUGUGUGCUCCUUCAAGGGCUUCUGCUUCUAACAGUCAGCCUCUUUCUCAAAGGCUUGCCCUCAGGCCACUGGAGUCUGCUUGACCUGCGGGUCUGGAGAGUCACUGAAAGGGCCUGGGAUUCACUACCUGCCUCCUCCCCACUACAAACAUCCUAGGUGAACGGUGAGGGAGAUGUCCACUCUAGGUGAACGGUGAGGGAGAUGACCGCUCUAGGUGAACGGUGAGGGAGAUGACGGCUCACCUCUGCUGCCCUCCGUCAGGACAAACCCCCGGAGUUCCCCAGUAUGGUCAGGCUGAAGCUAAAAGCCACUCCCCACCGGAUUUUGCCUGCGAAUGGACUCAUCUUUGGGUUGUCUCUUUCCCUUUCUUGCCUCCUUUACUCCCUUCCCGGUUUCCCUGAGGGCCACAUUCUUAAUCAAUCACUUGCAGAGAAAUCUCAGUUCAUCAAGAUCUGCUUCUGGGGACCCCGACCUAAAACAGAAGUCACCGCGGACCCCCAUCACUGCUUCUGAGUCUCCUGGAAAACAGCAUCACUUUUCAACACACCUGUGUGUGAACACCCGGUAUGAGCAGACGCAGAAGAUUCCACACGUACCCAGAGCAUGGACAGGAAACAACUCCCGCCUCUUCCUCCAUCGUUGCAGCAACAGGGGAAAGGCCACCAGGCCUGGGGAUCUCCGCCUCCCACUUGUCAGCCGUGCGCCCUGGGUAUGUUUCUUAAGGAGUCUAGGGCUCUGUUUGCCAUAGUAUUGUUUUAAAAUGGUAAUACCGACCUCACAGUUGUCAGGAUUAAUGAAAUACCCCAAGCCAGUGCCUGGCACCUAGCAAGUACGCACCGGCUACUCACUAAAUCUCAAUCUGCAUUUUGAUGGCAAUGCCCUGUAGAUCAGAAAUUACCCAAAACCCAUCAAACGAGCCAGAUGCCUCUGCAGUCGGGCUCCUCCCC
rnacentral:lncRNA from 1 species